rnacentral:ncRNA from 1 species
GCGCGGGGACGACCCGGCGUACUUUUCCAUCGCGGGGACGGCCCU